GAGGGUUGGCACAUACUUCAUACGUGGGAGCUGGGCUUCUCUCAAAUCUGCUCUCAGCUUCAUUGGCCUUCUGUGGCAGCCUCAGCCAGGCUUUGGAAAGGCUUUCAAAAGCUCAAAAAGACCAGGCUUUAUUAGAAGAUGAGCUGAAGUGACUCACUUUUAAAAAAUUAUCUGGCAGAAAAGGCUCUGAAAAGCCCAGAUCUUCCAUCUUGGUGCUGUUUCAGCCUGCACCUUUUCACUGCUGGACUCAGGUAUUCUCUGCCAGGUUUAAAGAUGCCUUACACAUGUUUUUCUUCAUCAAAUCCAGAAAUUCUCAGUAAACUGUGUCUCAAACACCCGCAGCCAAUUAGCACAUAAAGCUCACAGCUCUCUGAAAUUUAUGCCAGGCUUUUUGAAGCAGCAGUAAGAUGCAGGGAAGUCCAUUUUGCAUUGAUCAGUCUGUGCCCACUCACAUCAAGCAUGCCCUGUGACUGCCAGCAGUCCUUCAUUAAACUGACAACAGAGAUUUAAGUACCUUACAGAAUUUAAAAUGUAUCUUCAGAAAUAUUUUUAAGUUGACUUCCUUCUAUGAAGAACUAUCUUGCAGAAGCACUUGAGAAUCCAGGUGGUUUGAAGUAAUCAGUCACUGCAUUAUAUAAGCACACAUUUCUAUUCCUGAUUCAGGGAAGAGGCAAAAGCUUCUCCUUAUGGUACAGAGUGGAACACUGUCACUGGAUGUCAACACAGGAAAAGUAUGAAUGGGUUCAAAAAGAAGCCACCAAUUAAUUAAAUGAGGACAGACAUACUGGUGUCAGCUCAUUCUGAGAGGCCUGAUGCAAUGUGUUACUCAAGAAGCCCAGGAAGGAUCACUCUGCACAUGCUCUGCUUUCCCAAAUAUGUGCAAUAUUUAGAUAAAUAAAAUUCUACAGGUGAGUCAGUGCUUUCAUAACCUUAAUUAGAGUAAGUGAUAGCAAAGCAUGUGAUAACAUGAGAUUAAGCAGAAUUUCUUGUCUGACAGCUACAAGUUGAUCAAAUUUUUCUUAUCUUCAUCUCUUUCAUCCUUUUAAAAUCCUGUUCUCCUCUGGGUAGUUGCACAUAUUCUGCAACCAAACUGUGAGAUUUCUGUUAUCCAAAAUAAGACAUGUUUUUUCCUUUGGUUUUCAUUCAGUGCUCUAUGAAAGGGAUUGGUGGUUAUUUAAAAACUAGACUUAAAACCAAACUCCUUAAAUACACAUAGAUGUAACAGAGGAGCCAUCUGCUUCCACUUCUGUCUAGAAUAAUUUCUGUUACAAGAAA